rnacentral:rRNA from 1 species
GACGAACGCUGGCGGCGUGCCUAACACAUGCAAGUCGAACGGAAAGGUCCUGCUUUUGUGGGGUGCUCGAGUUGCGAACGGGUGAGUAACACGUGAGUAACCUGUCCCUGACUUUGGGAUAUCCUCAUGAAACUUGUGCUAAUACCGGAUAGGAGUUCCCGCUGCUUGGUGGGGGUUGGACUGUUUCGGCUGUUGGGGAUGUACCCGCGGCUUAUCAGCUUGUUGGUGGGGUAGUGGCUGACCAAGGCUUUGACAGGUAGCCGGGCUGGGAGGGUGACCGGACAAGUCAGGACUGAAAUGCGGCACAGACUAGACCGGGAGGCAACGGUGGAGAAGGGAGUACAGUGGGAGGAAGGAUAGUGCAGCGAAGCCGCGUGGGGGAAAACGGGCUGCGGGUAGGAAACCGCAUUCGCCUGUGACGAGGCGUGAGUGACGGUAAUGGGUGAAGAAGCACCGGCUAACUACGUG